rnacentral:lncRNA from 1 species
CCUACACCUGGGUAGCCAUCAACUCCAGGAAUCUUGAGCUAAUGAAAUGCCAACCCUUUGGCAAAUGGUUAAGCUGGGUUAGGUGCCCUCUGCCCCAAUCAUUCCCUGGCUGCCCAUUUCUUGCAUCCAGCUUUGCAUCCUCUGCUCACAUCUGAGCUCAGCCACUUCUGGGGCCUUGAGCAGGUGUAAGCAGAUUGUCCUGUCCACCUCACCUUCCACCGCUGGGGUCGCCUGACAUCGAGUCGAGGGUGUCUGCAGAAGGGUGCUGGCUACCAGCACAUGCACCAACCAGGGAAGUGUCAAAACAGCAUGUUCCUCGUGGCUGUGCAGUGUCCUCUCUCCCGUGGGACGAGUCCCUAGCUGCCCUGAGCCGAUACAGCUUGAUACAGCCCCAUGCCUUGACUCCCCCAGUCCCCAGCCCUGUUCCCUAGGCUCACAAACAAGUGCCUGCAAUCUGAUACUUUGGGUUUUGCUUUUUUUUUGAGGGGGAUUCCAGCUACUUUUGUCUCUACCACAGCCUUUGUCAAAUUAAAAGUGUUACACUUCUGUCUCUGUUUCAGUCUCUUCCACUCAACUACAAGGCCUUGAAGGCAGAGAUUUUGCCUUAAUAGUUACCUAGAUAGUAAUAAAUGCUUGUUCAGUGAAUGGCUAGAAAGUACACAAUGUGUUUGCAAAUAGCAGCUAAUGGGCAUCAGAGCAUAUGAACGUGGUAAGGUGUUUCUCAUGUUUUAUCUCCUUUAACUCUACAACAACCUAGCAGGGAGGUGCUAUUAUUAUCCCCGUUUUACAUAUAAGGAUCAAGCUGAGAAAGGUUAGGUGACUUUCCCAGAGUCACAUAGCUAGAGGAAAAAGAUGGAUCAGGGUUUUGGAGUUCAGUAUGUCCAGUUCCUAGAUUGGCAUCUUGUUCUCUCACUUACCAGGGAACCAUGGCUGCCUGUUAUUAUACAGGCAAAGAGCACUGGUGGAGAGCAGAGAGAGGAGGUUGACUGGGUAGGGAGGGGCCGCAUCAUGAAGGAUCUUUGUUCAGCGACUUAUUUUGCAGGCUAUGGGCACCUUAGAAGGCUGAAAACGUUCUCAUGUGAACACUUACAAGUUUCCUUGCAUUUUAAAACAUACAAACAGUUUGAUGUAUUUCCAUGAGGGGGCAGGCAUGGGCAACAGCUGAGCACACUGUGCUGGGAAACCAUCGUGAGAAACUUGGUUCAGUUUUCUUUUCCGGAUGGGGCCUCUGGUCAGCACUGAGAGCAGAUCCAGGAUCGAUAGUCUCCUCCAGCAUUGGAGGCCAGCUGCGGUUCACGUUGCUGCCUUUCCUUCGAGCUCUGCCCUCUUGUCUCUUCCCCUCCAGCCCUUUUCUCUCUCAUUCUUGUUUACUUUCUUUACUGAAGUGAAAACAGGUUAAGUAAAGUAGUAGAUGCUGCCAACAUAUCACCAAGCACAUGCCUCCAAAUCAUCAUCUUCGCAACAUCUGCAAAGUCCAAUCCACAGGAAAUAAACACACCACACAAACAAAUAACAGUUGCAGUCACCACAACAGUAUACAGAGCCUGAGUGUCCUCCAGCCACAAGGAGAAGGUCUUGUCCCUGUCCUCAUGCGUUGGGAGUCUCCGUAUGGGACCCAUACUUAGAAAAUGAUGAUUGAUUUCAAUUUAGGCUAAGCUAACAUUUAUCGAGUGCCCACUGUGUGUCAGGUUUGGUGCUGUGGGAUUGAACAUAUGUUAUCUCACUGCAUCUUCACAUUCAUAACUUGAGUUAAGUAGGAUUUUCUGUUUUUACAAAUGGGGCCAUCGGGUCUCAGUGAGGUUGAGAUCAUACUACUGGCAAGUUGUGGAGCGAUUAUUUAAACAAGAGGUUUGGGCUUCUGCUCUAGUGUUCCUCCCAUGGAACCGCACUGGAUUGGUUGAUUUCUCAUCAACCCUUGAGGUGAGUAUGAUUCAGAAUGACCAAUAAUUGGAGGAGGAUUGUUAAGCAGUAUUUUGGGGGAGAGGAUUUGAGAUAGGGUCUCGCUACGUCGCUCAGGCUGGCCUUGAACUCACUAUGUGGCCCAGGCUGGCCUCAAACUUGUGGCGAUCCUCCUACCUCAGCAUCCUGAAUGCUGGGAUUACAGGCAAUUGUCACCAUGCCCAGCUAGCUUUUUUCUUUAAUGUCAGCUAAGCCCAAUGCAUAAAAGAUGCAGAAGGAGAGCUGACACAUGGUGUGUGUGGGGCGGCUGUUUGUCUACACUUCAGCUUUCUGAUCCAAGGCUGAGGAAAAUGCUCUGGGGGUCAUGCAACCCUGUGACUGUGACAUCCUGCUCAGCCACAGAUUGUCCUGGAUGGUGCCGGUGGCCAGUAGAGGGCUGAGGUCCAAUUUAUAUUUUUUCUAUGGCACUCCUUGUACAGAGGAGAAGCCUAAGGACCAAGACUAUCAAAGUGACCACAGCCAAGGAGUGGAAGAGCCUGUGUGGAACUCUGGUCUCCCAGCCUGAGGGGCUCGAUGUCCCCUUACCCCAAGCCUUGUACGUGUUAUGCCAUCAGGGAGGGUUAUAGGAGUAGGAGGUGCGACACGGGUGAAUGGUUUUUAUUAAUGAUCACAUAUUUCUUUUGAUGUGUGUUAGGAAAUCAUCAUAGCCACUUCAAAACCAUGAUUCCAUGGAUAUUGUUAGGAGGAAUUGAAGUAGACAGUAAGGAAAAAGUGGAUAGGUUUCAAUAUUACAUAAAGAAUACAUUAUAUGACAUAUGUUAGAUUCCUGUCACGCUGUAACAAAUGAGCACAAACAAUGGCUCGGAGCAAUACACAUUUAUCACCUUCCAGUUAUGGAUGUCAGAAGUGCUCAAGUCAGCGUGCUGGCUGGCCUUCGCUCCUUCUGGAGGUUCUAGGGGAGAAUUCGAAUCCUUUUCCAGCUUCUAGAAGCCGCCUGCCUUUCUUGGAUUAUCUGUCCUCUGCUUCUGCUGUCAUGCUUCCUUUUGUCUGACAUUGACCCUCUUUUUUCCCUGUUAUGAAGAACCUUAUAACUGUAAUAGGGCUACCUGCAUAAUCCAGGAUAAUCUCCCCAUUUCAGAUCCUAACUUAAUCUCAUCUGCAAAGUUCCUUUUGUGAUGUAAGGUCACAGAUUCACAGAUUCCAGGGGGGAUCAGGACUCGAUCACUUUUGGGGGGUGAGGAAGGGAGGCAUUUUUCUAUCCUAUAGUAGACAUGGUGUGAAUCUAUGAGAAAAGUCUGGGAGGCCGUAUUUGAAUUUAUGAAGAUUGGAAACACUGACUUACAUUCUGGCUGCUUCCUCAAUGGCUGUGCUUUGGAUUUGAUACCAGCUUUCUUGGGCCUGUGCAGCUUUGGGAUUAGGCAGAAACUGAAACUGAAUAUUUGGGAGCAUAGUUAUCCAUUCAUGAGUAGAUUAUGGCCUGAGAAAGCUCAUUUGAGAACUGGUAGCCCUGGAGUUAACCUUGAGGGUUGUAGAGAAUUACGGGGAAGGGAAAGGUAGCACUCAGCUCUGCUGAGGUGGGGUGGGGCUGAGGAGCCCUGUCUGAUAGCUCAUCUGGAGUGGCUUUCAUUCUGCCAUGUGGCUUUUCCUUUGUCUCAUGCUUGGAAAAAUGUAUAACGUCUGUGAGUGUGCAUGUGUGUGCAGGAGCUUGAAGAAAAAUCAUCCGGUCCCACAGGCUGAGAUUUCUCCCUCUCCCCAGUUAAGCAAAAGGCUGAUUUCCAUAUCUGAGGGACAGAUUGUGGUACCCAGGCUGAGAAGCAAGGUGCAGACACAAGGGACUGUGAGUAGAGCAGCUGUCUCUGGGGAGACGUGGGCUUUCCUUGCAUGUUAUCUCAGUGAUGCUCCUGAGGACUUCUGAGAUCCGGAGAGGUUGUACAAUGACCUUACAAAGGUCAUGUGGGAUUUUAGCCAUGGCUGUGGGACUCCAAGACCAGUCUUGGAAUUGGUUGUCAUGGACAAACAUGCUUGGAUAUUGCUUUCUGGGGACAGGGUAGUCUCAAAGCUCAGCUGGACUUCAUGUUGCAUCCACUAGGUCCUACUGUCAAUGUGAAUGAGUGUCCCCCAAGGGCUCAGAAGGUGGAGAGAGCUGUGCUUUGAGGAGAGGCGCCAACAAGCCGGUGCUGAAGUGUUAAGGACAGGUUGCUAUUGCAUAUGCUACUGCAGUAGGGAAAAGAACUUGACUUUGAUCUGUGCAGAUGUGGCUGGGCAUUUUAAGGGGAGAACGAGGGAGAAGGGAGGGGAUGGGGAUCAGGUGAGUCAGAGAAGUAACAAAACCUACAGAGUGUGGGAUAAGGGCAUCAAUUCAUGCGAUGCUCAUCUGAUUUUGGUAGGUGGCCUGUACUGUAUUGGAGUCAGGCUCCUGCCCGGCCACAGCGACUGGGCAACAGGGAUUCUGUACUCCCGUGCUGCUGGCACAGCAUGCUUCUGGCAUCCUUGAGUUUUCUCAGGGAAGCAUUUUAUGGAGGACUAUGGUCAUCCUAGGAAUGUGGCCUUGAGCUUUUGGACAUUAUGUUAGUAUCUGUUCAAGUCCUUAUAGGCCACGACUUAUGCCUCAUCCAGCAAGAGAUCAGAGAAGCCUGGCUGGAAUUUGAUCAGGGACAGAAUCUUGGUCAGAGGCAUCCUCAGGGUAUCAGCUGUUCCUAUGCUAUUCCCAGAGAGAGCUCCUUAGCUCUUUAGAACACCACUGUCUUGGGUUGGGAACAAGUGUCCAUAAAAAUAGGUUUCACCAAUAAGGAAAACAUUGAAAAUCAAUCAAUUAUCUAUCUAUCUAUCUAUCUAUCUAUCUAUCUAUCUA